AGAACGAACGCUGGCGGCAGGCUUAACACAUGCAAGUCGAACGCGUGUAGCAAUACACGAGUGGCGCACGGGUGAGUAACGCGUGGAUAUCUGCCUUUUGGUUCGGAAUAACCCCGGGAAACUGGGGCUAAUACCGGAUGGUUCCUACGGGAUAAAGAUUUAUCGCCAAAAGAUGAGUCCGCGUACGAUUAGCUAGUUGGUGAGGUAAUGGCUCACCAAGGCGACGAUCGUUAGCUGGUCUGAGAGGACGAUCAGCCACACUGGGACUGAGACACGGCCCAGACUCCUACGGGAGGCAGCAGUGGGGAAUAUUGGACAAUGGGGGCAACCCUGAUCCAGCCAUGCCGCGUGAGUGAUGAAGGCCUUCGGGUUGUAAAGCUCUUUUGGCGGGACGAUGAUGACGGUACCGCAGAAUAAGCCCCGGCUAACUUUGUGCCAGCAGCCGC
rnacentral:rRNA from 1 species